rnacentral:rRNA from 1 species
UUUGAGGGGGAAGAGCGAGGACGGUACCCCUGGAAUAAGCGUCGGCUAACUACGUGCCAGCAGCCGCGGUAAGACGUAGGACGCGAGCGUUAUCCGGAUUUACUGGGCGUAAAGCGUCUGUAGGCGGAUGUGUAAGUUGGGCGUGAAAGCUCCGGGCUUAACCCGGAGAGGCCGUUCAAUACUGCAUAACUUGAGGGUGUCAGAGGGGAGCGGAAUUCCCGGUGUAGCGGUAAAAUGCGCAGAGAUCGGGAGGAACACCAGUGGCGGAGGCGGUUCCCUGGGGCACACCUGACGCUGAGAGACGAAAGCUAGGGGAGCGAACAGGAUUAGAGACCCUGGUAGUCCUAGCCCUAAACGAUGAAUGCUAGGUGUGGGAUCGAAUGGUUCCGUGCCGGAGCGAACGCGAUAAGCAUUCCGCCUGGGGAGUACGGCCGCAAGGUUAAAACUCAAACGAAUUGACGGGGCCCCGCACAAGCAGCGGAGCGUGUGGUUUAAUUCGAUGCUACACGAAGAACCUUACCUGGGUUUGACAUGUAGGUGGUAGUGAAUCGAAAGGUGAACGACCCUUCGGGGAGCCUACACAGGUGCUGCAUGGCUGUCGUCAGCUCGUGCCGUGAGGUGUCGGGUUAAGUCCCGUAACGAGCGCAACCCUUGCUCCUAGUUACAAGUGUCUAGGGGGACUGCCGGCGGAAAGCCGGAGGAAGGUGGGGAUGACGUCAAGUCAGCAUGGCCCUUAUAUCCAGGGCUACACACACGCUACAAUGGUCGGUACAAAGGGCAGCGAAACCGCGAGGCGGAGCGAAUCCGAGAAAAGCCGAUCGUAGUUCGGAUAGCAGGCUGCAACCCGCCUGCUUGAAGCUGGAGUUGCUAGUAACCGCGCGUCAGCCAUAGCGCGGUGAAUACGUUCCCGGGGCUUGUACACACCGCCCGUCACGUCAUGGGAGUCGGUAACGCCUGAAGCCGGUAGUCUAACUGGAAACAGGAGACGCUGUCGAGGGCGGGACUGGCAACUGGGACGAAG